rnacentral:rRNA from 1 species
GUGCCAGCAGCCGCGGUAAUACGUAGGGGGCAAGCGUUGUCCGGAAUUAUUGGGCGUAAAGCGCGCGCAGGGCGGUCUUUUAAGUCUGAUGUGAAAUCUUGCGGCUCAACCGCAAAGCGGUCAUUGGAAACUGGAAGACUUGAGUGCAGAAGAGGAGAGUGGAAUUCCAUGUGUAGCGGUGAAAUGCGUAGAUAUAUGGAGGAACACCAGUGGCGAAGGCGACUCUCUGGUCUGUAACUGACGCUGAGGCGCGAAAGCGUGGGGAGCAAACAGGAUUAGAUACCCUGGUAGUCC